AGUUUCCCCUGAUGGCAGGCCUUGUUAAGAAGAUUAGAGUACUGUGGCCUGUUUCAAAAUGGUUCCUUUUCCUCCUGCCCCUGUCAGAAGACCAAAGGGAUUUUUCUCGGACAAUUUCUAUGGGAACCUGGUCGAGCUCCUGAAGGCAAAUUUCACAAUACUGUGGGGGCCCCCAUGACUGGGUCCCCCUAGGGUUUUUAACUCUCAGACUUGUCUGCCCUGAGCCUCUAGUAAUUCAUCAAAUACGGUGCAGGUUUUCCUACCCCGUCACUGGCUCCUACAGUGGUUUCUGCUCCUGAGUCGGCCCUGGUUCUGCAGAGAGAAUACAGCUGCUGACAUCUUACUUUUCUGCCCAGUGAGACUCAUUUCAGAAUUCUGACCUCUAGAACUAAACUACAAGAUGCUCCAGGCUCACUGUGUAUAUGUCACGGCACUGCCCUAGAAUCAACAGUUUCUCUAAGGAGUUCUGGCUCCUUUUAUUGGAAAAUGGGUUUAAAAACCAAAAUCUGGGGACUCAUUGCUACUGAGGUGUUGUUGUUUCUAGACCUUCUCCGAGGACAAAAAAGGAAUAUGUGUAUAAUAACAAGUAUAUAUAUAUAUAUACAUCUCUAAAGAAUUUUAUGUGUUUCUACCUGUGUCUAUAUUAAGCUAUACAUGAAUUCAUACUGAUGUCCUCAACUCUAAUUCAUUAGGAUCUAAACGACUUUAGUUUCUUUGCCUUUCUUAUCUGUAACCUUCCACCCU
rnacentral:lncRNA from 1 species